rnacentral:rRNA from 1 species
UACGAGGGGGGCAAAUGUUGUUCGGAAUCACUGGGCGUAAAGGGAGCGUGAGGCUGGGUUUUAAGUCAGGUGUUUAAUCCCGGGGCCCAACCCCGGACAGGCACUUGAAACUGGGAAUCUUGAAUAGUGGAGAGGUCAGUGGAAUUGGGGGUGUAGCGGUGGAAUGCGUAGAGAUCCCCAAGAACACCCGUUGCGAAGGCGGCUGACUGGACACAUAUUGACGCUGAGGCUCGAAAGCAUGGGGAGCAAACAGGG